rnacentral:rRNA from 1 species
UACGUAGGGUGCGAGCGUUGUCCGGAAUUAUUGGGCGUAAAGAGCUUGUAGGCGGUUUGUCGCGUCUGCCGUGAAAAUCCGGGGCUCAACCCCGGACUUGCGGUGGGUACGGGCAGACUAGAGUGCUGUAGGGGAGACUGGAAUUCCUGGUGUAGCGGUGAAAUGCGCAGAUAUCAGGAGGAACACCGGUGGCGAAGGCGGGUCUCUGGGCAGUAACUGACGCUGAGGAGCGAAAGCGUGGGGAGCAAACAGG